CCGAGUUUACAACUCCCAAACCCCUGUGAACAUACCUAUAUGUUGCCUCGGCGGAUCAGCCCGCUCCCGGUAAAACGGGACGGCCCGCCAGAGGACCCCUAAACUCUGUUUCUAUAUGUAACUUCUGAGUAAAACCAUAAAUAAAUCA
rnacentral:misc_RNA from 1 species